rfam:Danio rerio chromosome 25, GRCz11 reference primary assembly.
UGUCUUUCGCGAAUCUUUUUGCGGUCUGGGCUUGCUGUUCAUAAGUAUCUAGCUGGGAAGCCCUUACCCCAAAAAGCAUUUGCGGAAGGCG